rnacentral:tRNA from 1 species
GCCUAGCUGGCUCCCUCGGCAGAGCACGAGACUCUUGAUCUUGGGGUUGUGAGUUCGAGCCCCACACUGGGUG